GACGAACGCUGGCGGCGUGCUUAACACAUGCAAGUCGAACGGAAAGGCCUCUUUCGGGGGGUACUCGAGUGGCGAACGGGUGAGUAACACGUGAGUAACCUGCCCUUGACUUUGGGAUAACUUCAGGAAACUGGGGCUAAUACCGGAUAGGAGCUCCUGCUGCAUGGUGGGGGUUGGAAAGUUUCGGCGGUUGGGGAUGGACUCGCGGCUUAUCAGCUUGUUGGUGGGGUAGUGGCUUACCAAGGCUUUGACGGGUAGCCGGCCUGAGAGGGUGACCGGCCACAUUGGGACUGAGAUACGGCCCAGACUCCUACGGGAGGCAGCAGUGGGGAAUAUUGCACAAUGGGUGGAAGCCGGAUGCAGCAACGCCGUGUGCGGGAUGACGGCCUUCGGGUUGGAAACCGCUUUCGCUCAUGACGAAGCUUUGUGUGACGGUAGUGGGUAAAGAAGCACCGGCUAACUACGUG
rnacentral:rRNA from 1 species